UCCUACGGGGUGCAGCAGGCGCGAAACCUUCGCAAUGCGCGAAAGCGCGACGAGGGGAGCCCGAGUGCCCUUCCUUUGGGAGGGCUUUUCCGGAGCCUAAAAAGCUCCGGGAAUAAGGGCUGGGCAAGACGGGUGCCAGCCGCCGCGGUAAUACCCGCAGCUCGAGUGGUGGCCACUAUUAUUGAGCCUAAAGCGUCUGUAGCCGGACCCGUAAAUCCCUGGGUAAAUCCUGGCGCUCAACGUCAGGAAUUCCGGGGAGACUGCGGGUCUUGGGGCCGGGAGAGGCCGGAGGUACUCCCGGGGUAGGGGUAAAAUCCUGUAAUCCCGGGGGGACCACCUGUGGCGAAAGCGUCCGGCUUGAACGGCUCCGACGGUGAGGGACGAAGGCCGGGGGAGCAAACCGGAUUAGAUACCCGGGUAGUCCUGGCUGUAAACGCUGCCCGCUUGGUGUUGUCGGUCUCUCGGGGGCCGGCAGUGCCGGAGCGAAGGUGUUAAGCGGGCCGCUAGGGGAGUACGGCCGCAAGGCUGAAACUUAAAGGAAUUGGCGGGAGAGCACUGCAACGGGAGGAGCGUGCGGUUUAAUUGGAUUCAACGCCGGAAAACUCACCGGGGGCGACCGGCACAUGUGGGCCAGGCUGACGACCUUGCCCGAAUAAGAGCCGGAGAGGUGGUGCAUGGCCAUCGUCAGCUCGUACCGUAGGGCGUUCACUUAAGUGUGAUAACGAGCGAGACCCCCGUCCCCAGUUGCCACCUGUCCCUUCGGGGGCAGAGCACACUGGGGAGACCGCCAGCGCUAAGCUGGAGGAAGGUGGGGUCAACGGUAGGUCAGUACGCCCCGAAUCCCCCGGGCUACACGCGCGCUACAAAGGGCGGGACAAUGGGUUGCGACCCCGAAAGGGGGAGCUAAUCCUGAAACCCGUCCGUAGUUCAGAUCGAGGGCUGUAACUCGCCCUCGUGAAGCUGGAUUCCGUAGUAAUCGCGGGUCAACAUCCCGCGGUGAAUGCGCCCCUGCUCUUUGCACACACCGCCCGUC
rnacentral:rRNA from 1 species